UGGAACAUAACGGUUUUUCAGUUGUUCA
rnacentral:sRNA from 1 species